GGCGGUUUCUUAAGUCUGAUGUGAAAGCCCCGGCUCAACCGGGGAGGGUCAUUGGAAACUGGGGAACUUGAGUGCAGAAGAGGAGAGUGGACUUCCACGUGUAGCGGUGAAAUGCGUAGAGAUGUGGAGGAACACCAGUGGCGAAGGCGACUCUCUGGUCUGUAACUGACGCUGAGGAGCGAA
rnacentral:rRNA from 1 species